rnacentral:rRNA from 1 species
UACGGGGGGGGCAAGCGUUGUCCGGAAUCACUGGGCGUAAAGGGCGCGUAGGUGGCGCGACAAGUCGGUGGUGAAAGUUCGACGCUCAACGUCGAAUCGGCCACCGAUACUGUUGGGCUUGAGCACUGUAGAGGCUAAUGGAAUUCCGGGUGGUAGCGGUGGAAUGCGUAGAGAUCCGGAAGAACACCGGUGGCGAAGGCGGUUAGCUGGGCAGUUGCUGACACUGAGGCGCGACAGCGUGGGGAGCAAACAGG